rnacentral:rRNA from 1 species
CCUACGAGUGGCAGCAGUGAGGAAUAUUGGUCAAUGGGCGGGAGCCUGAACCAGCCAAGUCGCGUGAGGGAAGACGGUCCUAUGGAUUGUAAACCUCUUUAGGCGGGGAGCAAUGCCGGGCACGCGUGCCCGGAGGGAGAGUACCCGCAGAAUAAGCAUCGGCUAACUCCGUGCCAGCAGCCGCGGUAAUACGGAGGAUGCGAGCGCUAUCCGGAUGUAUUGGGGUGAAAGGGUGCGUAGGCGGAUUUUUAAGUCAGCGGUAAAAUGUCCGGGCUCAACCCGGGCCGGCCGUUGAAACUGGGGAUCUUGAGUGGGCGAGAAGUAUGCGGAAUGCGUGGUGUAGCGGUGAAAUGCAUAGAUAUCACGCAGAACUCCGAUUGCGAAGGCAGCAUACCGGCGCCCGACUGACGCUGAGGCACGAAAGCGUGGGGAUCGAACAGGAUUAGAUACCCCUGUAGUC